UACGGGGGGGGCAAGCGUUGUUCGGAAUUACUGGGCGUAAAGGGCUCGUAGGCGGCCAACUAAGUCAGACGUGAAAUCCCUCGGCUUAACCGGGGAACUGCCUCUGAUACUGGAUGGCUUGAGAUUGGGAGAGGGAUGCGGAAUUCCAGGUGUAGCGGUGAAAUGCGUAGAGAUCAGGAAGAACAUCGGUGGCGAAGGCGCUCUGCUGGACCAUAACUGACACUCAGGGACGAAAGCUAGGGGAGCGAAUGGG
rnacentral:rRNA from 1 species